UGAAGUCUCAGUUCAAGACCUUUUUUUUUUUUUAAGUCUUACUCAAAAGGAAGUGAGUAUGAGGUGAACUGCAUUAACCUAAAGUGCUGCAGAGAUAAACUUAAAGCAGGAAGCAACAUACCAUGAAUGUACUGCAAGGGAACACAUUUGUGUCAUGUGAAGAGACAUGACAAAAACAGCCCUCCUUAAAUUAUUUGUGGCAAUAGUGAUCACAUUCAUUUUAAUUUUGCCGGAAUAUUUCAAGACACCGAAAGAUAACUUACCGUCACCUUUUGACAAGAAAAAGCGUUUAUAUAUUUUGAAAAUACAAUCAAAAUAAGAAACCUGGGGCUACAAAAAGGAAAGACAACUCUUUGAUCAAGGAGUUUUCAGUCGGGAGGACAACUGACUGGCAAACAACUAAAUAAAAUACAGGAAUUAACUGAAACAGGGAUGUAAACAAGAUGCAAUGGAAACAUAAGUAUUGCUUCCACGUCAGUCUUUGGGAGGACGUUCCUUGUAUUUCCAUUUGCAAAGAGAAAUAAAUAAUUGUCAGAGUUCAAAUGA
rnacentral:lncRNA from 1 species